ncrna:unclassified sequences Rhodo-rpoB RNA
UUCGGGAGCUAAAGGUGGCACUUUAGCAAGAAUAGGAUGAACUUUGUUUCAUGUGGCCGAUUAGGUUGUGAUGCCCGCACAAACUAU